rnacentral:rRNA from 2 species
ACAAUGGAGAGUUUGAUCCUGGCUCAGGAUGAACGCUAGCGGCAGGCCUAACACAUGCAAGUCGAGGGGCAUCGGGAUUGAAGCUUGCUUCAAUUGCCGGCGACCGGCGCACGGGUGCGU